rnacentral:rRNA from 2 species
GCGACCCCAGGUCAGGCGGGACUACCCGCUGAGUUAA